rnacentral:rRNA from 1 species
UACGUAGGGGGCAAGCGUUGUCCGGAAUUAUUGGGCGUAAAGGGUGCGUAGGCGGCUUGGUAGGUCUGGUGUGAAAGCCCCGGGCUCAGCCCGGGAAGGGCACUAGAAACUGCCAAGCUAGAGUGCCGGAGGGGAGAGUGGAAUUCCUGGUGUAGCGGUGAAAUGCGUAGAGAUCAGGAGGAAUACCGGUGGCGAAAGCGACUCUCUGGACGGCAACUGACGCUGAGGCACGAAAGCGUGGGGAGCAAACAGG